AAUAAAACAACGCAAAACCAACUUUCUCAUUAAAAGCGUUCCUGUGAGAAGCCCGCUGUCCUCGUGGCAGUGUGUGGCUCUAUGAAACAUGGAAAUCGUCAAGUAGAAAGGAGAAUUGACAUCGUUCGCGGUCGGUCCUGGGUGAGGCGCUUCGCAAACUGUGCGGAGGGUCUCAAAGACUGGCUGUACAU
rfam:Pseudogymnoascus sp. 24MN13 contig_1164, whole genome shotgun sequence.